UCUCUGGUAGUAUAGUGGUGAGUAUCCGCGCCUGUCACGUGCGAGACCGGGGUUCGAUUCCCCGCCAGAGAG
rfam:Parastrongyloides trichosuri strain KNP genome assembly, scaffold: PTRK_scaffold0000009